rnacentral:lncRNA from 1 species
GUCACUAAAAGGAACCAGCCCCAGCUACUUCACUGCAGGCUGGUGCCCUGGUGAAGGUGAAUCAGUCAGAGGAGUGCUGACUGCCCAUGGGGCUGCACCAUAUCAUGGUUCCCACUAGCAAUAUAUGAGAGUUCCAGUUGCUCCACAACCUCGCCAACAUAUGACAGGCCAGUCAUGGAAUUUCACGUGAUUUCUGGGGUGGGGGCGGAAGGAAGGCGGUGUUAAGAAUCAUCGGAGCUGUGCCCCAGUCAGCCCACGGCGGUGCAGGCAGGAUGGGCCCUCACUGGGGCAGCUGGAGGAGCACGGACUGCCCAGCCGGCGGAUAGGUGAUGUUCCGAGAGCGUGAGAGCUGGUACGCGAUGUCCUCCGCAGCUUCCAGCUUGCAGAGCUCCAUCAGGCGGUCCCUUGCGGUGGCCAGUGAGUUGGCAAUCAGCUCAGCUGCCUUGGAGUAGCCCUCAGCAGAGAUGAUGGCCACCUUUUUCUGCUGCUCAGCCUUUUCCACCACAAAUCUGGCCCUCUGCUUCCUGCUGAGCUACCUGUUUGGCUUCCACCGCUUCUGUGAACUCCUUCCCGAAGGUCAGAUGUGUCAAGGACACGUCAUCCAGGAUGAGCCCAAAGGUGGCUGCUCGCUCUGUAAGUAAGGUCAUUGCUCACCUACCUGGAGACCAGCUCUCUCUGGGUGAUUAGUUCUCCAGCAUCAAAGCUAGCCACCACGGACUUGAGGAUCUUGGUCGUGACGGAUGGCAGCACCUGCUCAUCAUAGUCCUCUCUGAUGCUGGUGAAGAUGCAAGGAAACUGGCUAGUGACAGGCCAGAAGAGGAUGAGCAGUGUGAUGUUGACAUUCUGUAAAUCUUUGCUACCAGUGAUGGCUGGCACAUUACGUGGUCGAGAAGGGCAGUCAAAGAUAAUUGGUUUCUGUACCCAUGGAAUGAGAAAGUGAGUCCUUUCCCCUACCACAAUGUCCUGUACUCCACGGAAUAGGUCAAAGAUGACAGCUCUGUGCCCAGCAUCCACAUUCUAUAAGGCAGAGUUCAUUUCACCAGGCCUCCUGCAACAGCUAAGGCCAGGCCAAACUUGCUGAUGAACUCAAACACUUUGGCAGCCAUGUUUUCUUCUGCUGGACCCCCUCACACCUGCUUCCACGUUGACCUCCACAUGAAUUCCCCCGCCUCAGUUUCUUAAUUUGAAAAUGAGGAAAACGAAAAUACCAACAUCAAACGUAUAUUUUGAGGAUUAAACAGUUAAAAUAAGUAAAACAAUUAGAACAGUCUUCAUAACAUAGCAACCAACCUUUUAGUUUUAGCUAUUAUUACUAUUAUUGCAGUCCCUAAAAUUUAUAUAAGAAAGGUAUGAUAAGUUUCAGAAGUUGGGUAGCAUUCAUCUGCAAAACCGUCUAACGUUUUUCUUUCUGUGGGUAUGUUUUAGCUACUUAUUCAAUUUCUUUAAUGUCAUUAAUCUACUUGAUUUUAUUUUUUUCUUCUUGACUUGCUUUUGGCAAGUUAUAUUUUUCUAGCAGUUUGUCCAUUUAAGUUUUCUUUUCUUUUUUUCUUUUUUAGAGACAGGAUCUCACUGUCUUGCUGAGCCUAUAGUGCAAUGGUGCAAUCAUAGCUCACUGCAGCCUCUAAAUCUUGGGCUCAAGUGAUUCUCCUGCCUCAGCCUCCCGAAUAGCUGAGACUACAGGUGUGCACCACUGUACCUGGCUAAUAUUUAAAGUUUUUGUAGAGACAAAGUCUCGCUUUGUUGCUCAGGGUGGUCUCAAACUCCUGGCUUUAAGCCAUCCUCCUGUCUCGACUUCCCAAAGUGUUCGGAUUCCACGUGUGCGCCAUCAUGCCCUACGCAUUUCAUUUAAAUCUUCAAAUUUAUUGGCCUAAUUUUUAUAGCAUAUUCUUAUUAAUGUCUAAUGUUGCUAUAUCUGUAUUUAUGGCUUCCUUUUUAUUCCUAAUAUCAUUUUGGGGUAUGUUGGAUGCUUAGUU